rnacentral:rRNA from 1 species
AUUGAACGCUGGCGGCAUGCCUUACACAUGCAAGUCGAACGGUAACAGGUCUUCGGAUGCUGACGAGUGGCGAACGGGUGAGUGAUACAUCGGAACGUGCCUAGUAGUGGGGGAUAACUACUCGAAAGAGUGGCUAAUACCGCAUGAGAUCUACGGAUGAAAGCAGGGGAUCGCAAGACCUUGUGCUACUAGAGCGGCCGAUGGCAGAUGAGGUAGUUGGUGGGAUAAAAGCUUACCAAGCCGACGAUCUGUAGCUGGUCUGAGAGGACGAUCAGCCACACUGUGACUGAGACACGGCCCAGACUCCUACGGGAGGCAGCAGUGGGGAAUUUUGGACAAUGGGCGAAAGCCUGAUCCAGCAAUGCCGCGUGCAGGAUGAAGGCCUUCGGGUUGUAAACUGCUUUUGUACGGAACGAAAAGCCCCGGGUUAAUACCCUGGGGUCAUGACGGUACCGUAAGAAUAAGCACCGGCUAACUACGUGCCAGCAGCCGCCGUAA